rnacentral:rRNA from 1 species
GGAAUAUUGGGCAAUGGGGGCAACCCUGACCCAGCCAUGCCGCGUGAGUGAUGAAGGUUUUCGAAUUGUAAAGCUCUUUCGGAUGUGAAGAUGAUGACGGUAGCAUCUAAAGAAGCCCCGGCAAACUUCGUGCCAGCAGCCGCGGUAAUACGAAGGGGGCAAGCGUUGUUCGGAAUUACUGGGCGUAAAGGGUGUGUAGGCGGUCACGUAAGAUAGCGGUGAAAUGCCGGGGCUUAACCUCGGAAUUGCCGUUAUAACUAUGGGGCUAGAGUGGCGCAGAGGAUAUUGGAAUACCCAGUGUAGAGGUGAAAUUCGUAGAUAUUGGGUAGAACACCGGUGGCGAAGGCGAGUAUCUGGGCGCAAACUGACGCUGAGGCACGAAAGCAUGGGGAUCAAACA